AUCUCAUGGUGUGGGCACUUCCUCAGUAGCUCCUUGAACCUCUCCCAUGCCUCACAAAGUGGCUCCUUGUCAUAUUGAUUAAAUGUCAAAAUUUCUUGACGAAGCC